AGCAGCAUUUCUAAAGCUGCUUAGCUGAUUCUAACAUGCAGCCAGGAUUGAGAUCUUGUGGGUGUUAUUUUACUAUGAGAUGAUUCUGCUGUUGACUUUCAGUCUACUGUGGCCCAAAGUGGGAGAUGAGCAGCCUGAUUCCAGUCUGAUCCAUCUGCAUUCAUAAGAUGGAUUCUCACUCUGUCACCAGGCUGGAGUGCAGUGGCACAAUCUCAGCUCACUAUAACCUCCACCUCCUGGGUUCAAGCAAUUCUCCUGCCUCAGCCUCCUGAGUAGCUGCGACUACAGGUGUAAGAUCUGGGACUACAUUCUAUUUUCUGUAAAUUGUGCAGAGCAAGUGUGUGGUGACCAUUUUUUCCCCUCGGAUUUUAAUCUACCGGAUAUGCCCAUAGAGUUUGCAGGAAUAACAGCUGGUUCUGGAAGCUGUUGGAGAUGUGAGAUAAAGACAGCAUCCUUACAGAGUGCUGCAACCAAAAGCCAGAGAGAGUCUUGCCUUUCGCAAUGCCAAAUCAAAAAGGUGAAUGCAUAGCCCACUCAGAGAAAUAAACCUUAUGAAGACAGUCUUCGCUACAGGGGCCUGCUCAUCAUCCAAUACCAUCCUCUUGGCUGUGGACCUUUUGAUGAAACAUUGAAAUUAGAAUCAACCAACCUAAAUAUCUGUAACAAUAUCUGGAAAGGUGUAUAAUUCAGAAUUGCAUGAAGACAACAAGAUUGGUAAACUUGCUAUAGUUGACACUUAGGACUGGCAAUUCUGUGUGUGCUCCUGUAACCCCAGCCAUGCCUGGAGAGUGUUCUCAAAUCUGGGCAUAUCUUCUCUGGAGUAUUCAAGUGGUCUCUUGAAUGCCAUACAUGGCAAUUUUGUAUGCUGAAUUGUGUCCCCUCUCUCCAAAUUCGUAAGUUGACAUCCAAACCCUCAUUACUUCAGAAUACAACUGCAUUUUGGAGAUAAGGUUUAUAAAGAGAUAAUUAAGUUAAAAUGAGGUCCUAAUCCAAUCUGACUAGCAUCCUUCAGAAAAGAGGAAGAAAUGCCAGGAGUGUGAGAGCACAAAGGGUCAAUUAUGUGAAGAGGCGUCAAGAGGGCAGCCAUCUGCAAGUCAGAGAGAUAAACCUUAGGAGAAACCAAUUUGCCAGUGCCUUGAUUUUGGACUCUCUUCUUCAGAAAUGUGAAAAAAUAAAUUUUGUUGAUUAAGCCACCUAGUCUGUAGUAAUUUGUUAUGUCAACCCUAGCAAACUAUUCCAACAGCAAAGAACAUUAGUCCUGGAUAUUUCAAGCGCACCAAAUGGCUAACUCUGCAAUCAAGAUAAAGCAUCGCAAGGAGUCUUGAGCUCUCAUCUUCCUCAUCCAAAAACCCUCAACCUUGGUUCCCAGUCACCCUCCACCAACCCCCUCCUUCUUAGUUUGGCUUUGCCUCAUCGCUUGUCAGUCAUCCUCUGUACAAUGGAUUUUGGCGAUGAUAGGGGCCCAGUAGCUUUAGAUUCUGAGCAUUGAAAAGAAAAUACGUUCUAUAUGGGCUGGUCUCCAGGCACACUGUCUAAAGGGUAAUCAAAAAUUUUCCAUGAAAUGUAACCACCCUCUUGCCAUCAGAUCUUGUAUGUAUUGUUGUACAGAAUAUGUUUUAUCAGUUCUUCAAUGUGAUUUUCCAUAAAACAACCCCUUCUUAUUAUUUGAACUUUGAUAUACAACAUACUCCAAGAGGAGGUUAAGUUUCUUGAACUGGUUGUGAGGAAGGUUAGGAAAUUCAUCCUACCAUACUCACAGCACUAUAGAGGCAAAUGUGGCCUAAAAUUAUAUCCUUGCAACUGCUUCUACCAGGUUUAUGAAAUUACUCUACAGUUUCCAGUUUCUUCUUACUAAGGUGCUAGCAAUAACCAUUAAAGAAGGUAAGCCUCUGCUUAGUCCUGCCUAAAUUCCUUCUCAUCUGAUUUCUGUUUUCCCAUGUUGUUCUUUUCCCUUUGAGGAAUGAAAAUUUCUCAUGCCUAGAUCCUUACUUCUUAAUCUCUGUUUAUACAGUUCUCCAAAAUGUAUGCAAUAACAUUUAGCAAUAAAUGUCUAUAAGCUCUUUUCAUCUUGCAAAAACUUGGCUGCCUACAAAUUUAUCACCCUGGAAAUGACAUCUGCCUGUUCUAUCAAGUUGGAAAUGCUGCUCACCAACCUGAGCACUUGUGCCUUUUUCUCCAACCUGCUGGGAAGUUGGAGGAGCCUGGAUCUCUUGUGGGAAGAGCCAUUCCCAAACGGUGCCUGAGCUAAAAGCAGAUCUCAUGGUGGCAGGGGUGAUAUCUACAAUAUUUAAUAACUAGUAAGG